CCUACGGGCGGCAGCAGUGAGGAAUAUUGGUCAAUGGGCGAGAGCCUGAACCAGCCAAGUCGCGUGAGGGAGUACUGCCCUAUGGGUUGUAAACCUCUUUUGUCGGGGAGCAAAAGCCGGACGUGUCCGGCUGUGAGAGUACCCGCAGAAAAAGCAUCGGCUAACUCCGUGCCAGCAGCCGCGGUAAUACGGAGGCUUCGAGCGUUAUCCUGAUUAUUGGGGUUAAAGGGUUCGAAGGCGGAUUUUUAAGUCAGCGGUCAAAUCGUGGGGCUCAACCCCAUCCAGCCGUUGAAACUGGGGAUCUAGAGUGUGCGAGAGGUAUGCGGAAUGCGUGGUGUAGCGGUGAAAUGCAUAGAUAUCACGCAGAACCCCGAUUGCGAAGGCAGCAUACCGGUGCACAACUGACGCUCAGGCACGAAAGCGUGGGUAUCGAACAGGAUUAGAUACCCCUGUAGUC
rnacentral:rRNA from 1 species